GGGAUAUAUUCGAGUUGUACUGCCCCUGAUAAAGGACUCGGCAGUAGUAUAGUAAGCUAAGAGAGAGAAAAUGGUGUUGAUUGAUAAACUUUGGGAUGAUGUUAUGGCUGGUCCCAGCCCUGAUAAAGGACUCGGCAAACUCAGAAAGAGCCUCACUAUUCAAACUGGUACUCUUAAUUCUAACAAAAUUGAUAUGUAAAAUCCAUUUCUGUUUGUGUGCAUGAAAAUUUAGGGGAAAAUUGAUGAAGUAAAAUUAAAGUUGUAUAUAUGUAAAGAUAAUUGAUGGAGAUCGAUCCAGUAUUAACUUAAAUUUUCUGAAUUGGAAUUGAUUCUCGUAUAUAGGUGGUGAAUCAGGAGAAGGAUCUAGCAAGUACCAGAGAUCUCUGUCGAUGCCGGCAAGUCCGCCGACGCCAGGUACGCCGGUGACGCCGACGAAUAUAUCGCCGACGGUACGGAAAGAGAAUGUGUGGAGGAGUGUUUUUCACCCAGGGAGCAAUUUAGCUACCAGGAGAAUUGGUGCUGAAGUGUUUGAUAAGCCUUCUCACCCUAACGCUCCUACUGUUUAUGACUGGCUCUACAGUGGGAACACCAGAUCUAAGCAUCAUGAGAAGUGCUGAGAGUUUUUGGGUGGAAAAAAGCAGUAGAAAAUCUUCAUAUAAAUAGUGUUUUUUUUCCUAUGCGAGUUGGGGACUUGCUAUCUAUAUUUGUGAUUAUAUGUUUUUUCUGUUGGGUAUUAAGUUAUAAUUAAGUAGUAUGCUGUAUUGUAAAUUACGCUUUCAAAAGCUAAUUUCUUAGCUUUAAUGGCAGGCCAUCUAUGGCUUUCUAGUUCCAAAUGAAGUUGUUACUAUUAUUACUAUACUGUUUGGAUGGUUGUCUUGCUUUAUUAAAUAUCUGAAAAUGAAUAUGGUAAUGUUUUUGUUUGUUAGUGAUGGGUCAAGUGUAAC
rnacentral:misc_RNA from 1 species